CAACCUGCCCUUUACUCGGGGAUAGCCUUUCGAAGGAAAGAUUAAUACCCGAUGGCAUAAUGAUUCCGCAUGGUUUCAUUAUUAAAGGAUUCCGGUAAAGGAUGGGGAUGCGUUCCAUCAGGUUGUUGGUGGGGUAACGGCCCACCAAGCCUUCGAUGGAUAGGGGUUCUGAGAGGAAGGUCCCCCACAUUGGAACUGAGACACGGUCCAAACUCCUACGGGAGGCAGCAGUGAGGAAUAUUGGUCAAUGGGCGCUAGCCUGAACCAGCCAAGUAGCGUGAAGGAUGAAGGCUCUAUGGGUCGUAAACUUCUUUUAUAUAAGAAUAAAGUGCAGUAUGUAUACUGUUUUGUAUGUAUUAUAUGAAUAAGGAUCGGCUAACUCCGUGCCAGCAGCCGCGGUAAUACGGAGGAUCCGAGCGUUAUCCGGAUUUAUUGGGUUUAAAGGGAGCGUAGAUGGAUGUUUAAGUCAGUUGUGAAAGUUUGCGGCUCAACCGUAAAAUUGCAGUUGAUACUGGAUAUCUUGAGUGCAGUUGAGGCAGGCGGAAUUCGUGGUGUAGCGGUGAAAUGCUUAGAUAUCACGAAGAACUCCGAUUG
rnacentral:rRNA from 1 species